GGGGAUAUAGCUCAGUUGGUAGAGCCUGCCUUGUAUGCAUAAAACCCUGGGUUCAAUCCCCAGCACUGCCA
rnacentral:tRNA from 1 species